rnacentral:rRNA from 1 species
CAAGUCGAACGAAGCUUGACGGAUGAUUUCUUCGGAAUGAAACCAGAUAUGACUUAGUGGCGGACGGGUGAGUAACACGUGAGCAACCUGCCUUUCAGAGGGGGAUAACGGCUGGAAACGGUCGCUAAUACCGCAUGAUGUGUUCGGAUGGCAUCAUCUGAACAUCAAAGAUUUAUCGCUGAAAGAUGGGCUCGCGUCUGAUUAGACAGUUGGUGGGGUAACGGCCUACCAAGUCGACGAUCAGUAGCCGGACUGAGAGGUUGAACGGCCACAUUGGGACUGAGAUACGGCCCAGACUCCUACGGGAGGCAGCAGUGGGGAAUAUUGCACAACGGGGGAAACCCUGAUGCAGCAACGCCGCGUGAAGGAUGACGGUUUUCGGAUUGUAAACUUCUUUUCUUAGUGACGAAGACAGUGACGGUAGCUAAGGAAUAAGCAUCGGCUAACUACGUGCCAGCAGCCGCGGUAAUACGUAGGAUGCAAGCGUUAUCCGGAUUUACUGGGUGUAAAGGGAGCGCAGGCGGGACUGCAAGUUGGAUGUGAAAUACCGUGGCUUAACCACGGAACUGCAUCCAAAACUGUAGUUCUUGAGUGAAGUAGAGGCAAGCGGAAUUCCGAGUGUAGCGGUGAAAUGCGUAGAUAUUCGGAGGAACACCAGUGGCGAAGGCGGCUUGCUGGGCUUUAACUGACGCUGAGGCUCGAAAGUGUGGGGAGCAAACAGGAUUAGAUACCCUGGUAGUCCACACUGUAAACGAUGAUAGCUAGGUGUGGGGGGUCUGACCCCUUCCGUGCCGGA